rnacentral:rRNA from 1 species
UACGUAGGGGGGCAAGCGUUGUCCGGAUUUAUUGGGCGUAAAGAGCGUGUAGGCGGCUUGGUAGGUCCGCUGUGAAAACUCGAGGCUCAACCUCGAGAUGUCGGCGGAAACCACUUGGCUAGAGUCCGGAAGAGGAGAGUGGAAUUCCCGGUGUAGCGGUGAAAUGCGCAGAUAUCGGGAAGAACACCUAUGGCGAAGGCAGCUCUCUGGGACGG